rnacentral:rRNA from 1 species
GCGUGCUUAACACAUGCAAGUCGAACGAUGAAGCUCUAGCUUGCUAGAGUGGAUUAGUGGCGCACGGGUGAGGAAUAUAUAGCUAAUGUGCCCCAUAGAGGGGGAUAACAGUUGGAAACGACUGCUAAUACCCCAUACUCCUUCUUCUCAUAAGGGAAGUCGGGAAAGUUUUUUCGCUAUGGGAUCGGGCUAUACGGUAUCAGCUUGUUGGUGAGGUAACGGCUCACCAAGGCUAUGACGCCUAUCUGGUCUGAGAGGAUGAUCAGACACACUGGAACUGAGACACGGUCCAGACUCCUACGGGAGGCAGCAGUGGGGAAUAUUACACAAUGGAGGCAACUCUGAUGUAGCAACGCCGCGUGGAGGAUGACACAUUUCGGUGCGUAAACUCCUUUUAUAUAGGAAGAUAAUGACGGUGCUAUAUGAAUAAGCACCGGCUAACUCCGUGCCAGCAGCCGCGGUAAUACGGAGGGCGCAAGCGUUACUCGGAAUCACUGGGCGUAAAGCGCGCGCAGGCGGCCCCUUAAGUUGGAUGUGAAAUCCUAUGGCUCAACCAUAGAACUGCAUCCAAAACUGAGGGGCUAGAGUCUGGGAGGGGAAGAUGGAAUUAGUGGUGUAGGGGUAAAAUCCGCAGAGAUCACUAGGAAUACCAAAAGCGAAGGCGAUCUUCUGGAACAGUACUGACGCUGAGGCGCGAAAGCGUGGGGAGCAAACAGGAUUAGAUACCCUGGUAGUCCACGCCCUAAACUAGGAAUGUUAGUCGUCGGGAGGCUCGUCCUCUCGGUGAUACAGCUAACGCAUUAAACAUUCCGCCUGGGGAGUACGGUCGCAAGAUUAAAACUCAAAGGAAUAGACGGGGACCCGCACAAGUGGUGGAGCAUGUGGUUUAAUUCGAAGAUACGCGAAGAACCUUACCUGGCCUUGACAUUGAUAGAAUCUGCUAGAGAUAGCGGAGUGCCCUUCGGGGAGCUUGAACACAGGUGCUGCACGGCUGUCGUCAGCUCGUGUCGUGAGA